AACAAACAAAGAGGUCGCAACUAAAAUGAGUAGCCCUGAAGAGUCUGGCCAAGACGAAGACUGAGGGUGAAAGGUGCAGUUGCCGAAAGGAAAUUUUGGGUCAAAAAUUUUCCUUGGGCUGGUGAAGAAGAUUCAUCGGACUGUCGUUUUUAACGGUGCGCUUUGCUAAUC
rfam:Fructobacillus sp. EFB-N1 FEFB_c000009, whole genome shotgun sequence.